GAUGAAGAACGCAGCGAAAUGCGAUACUUGGUGUGAAUUGCAGAAUCCCGUGAACCAUCGAGUCUUUGAACGCAAGUUGCGCCCGAAGCCUCGGCUAAGGGCACGUCUGCCCGGGCGUCACGCAUCGCGUCUCCCCCAAACCGCCAAGGCGGAGGGGAAGGAAGAUGGCUUCCCGUGCCUCACCCGGGCGCGGUUGGCCUAAAUUUGGAGCCCGCGGCACUUAGCUCUCGCGGCGAUAGGUGGUGAACAAGGCCUUGGCCGUGCAAACAACCCGCUGCGAAGCUCUAUGUCACGUGCGCUCGUCGGACCCUUUGAAGUUGCCUUUGGUGACUUAAAACCUUUGCGACCCCAGGUCAGGCGGGGCUACCCGCUGAAUUUAAGCAUAUCAAUAAGCGGAGGA
rnacentral:misc_RNA from 1 species